UACGGAGGGUGCAAGCGUUAUCCGGAUUCACUGGGUUAAAGGGUGCGUAGGUGGGUUGGUAAGUCAGUGGUGAAAUCUCCAGGCUUAACUUGGAAACUGCCAUUGAUAUUAUCAAUCUUGAAUACCGUGGAGGUCAGCGGAAUAUGUCAUGUAGCGGUGAAAUGCUUAGAUAUGACAUAGAACACCAAUUGCGAAGGCAGCUGGCUACACGAAUAUUGCACUGAUGCACGAAAGCGUGGG
rnacentral:rRNA from 1 species